GACGUACGCUGGCGGCGUGCCUAAUACAUGCAAGUCGAACGAAGCUGUUUUAACUGGUGCUUGCACCGACUUAAACAACUGAGUGGCGAACGGGUGAGUAACACGUGGGUAACCUGCCCCAAAGCGGGGGAUAACAUUUGGAAACAGAUGCUAAUACCGCAUAACCACAGAAACCACAUGGUUUCUGUGUCAAAGAUGGUUUCGGCUAUCACUUUGGGAUGGACCCGCGGCGUAUUAGCUAGUUGGUAAGGUAAUGGCUUACCAAGGCAAUGAUACGUAGCCGAACUGAGAGGUUGAUCGGCCACAUUGGGACUGAGACACGGCCCAAACUCCUACGGGAGGCAGCAGUAGGGAAUCUUCCACAAUGGACGAAAGUCUGAUGGAGCAACGCCGCGUGAGUGAAGAAGGUUUUCGGAUCGUAAAACUCUGUUGUCAGAGAAGAACGUGUGCGAGAGUGACUGUUCGUGCAGUGACGGUAUCUGGCCAGAAAGCCACGGCUAACUACGUGCCAGCCGCCGCGGUAA
rnacentral:rRNA from 1 species